rnacentral:rRNA from 1 species
UGGGGAAUUUUGGACAAUUGGGCGAAAGCCUGAUCCAGCAAUGCCGCGUGUGUGAAGAAGGCCUUCGGGUUGUAAAGCACUUUUGUCCGGAAAGAAAUCCUUGGCUCUAAUACAGUCGGGGGAUGACGGUACCGGAAGAAUAAGCACCGGCUAACUACGUGCCAGCAGCCGCGGUAAUACGUAGGGUGCAAGCGUUAAUCGGAAUUACUGGGCGUAAAGCGUGCGCAGGCGGUUUGCUAAGACCGAUGUGAAAUCCCCGGGCUCAACCUGGGAACUGCAUUGGUGACUGGCAGGCUAGAGUAUGGCAGAGGGGGGUAGAAUUCCACGUGUAGCAGUGAAAUGCGUAGAGAUGUGGAGGAAUACCGAUGGCGAAGGCAGCCCCCUGGGCAAUACUGACGCUCAUGCACGAAAGCGUGGGGAGCAAACAGGAUUAGAUACCCUGGUAGUCCACGCCCUAAACGAUGUCAACUAGUUGUGGGGAUUCAUUCCUUAGUAACGUAGCUAACGCGUGAAGUUGACCGCCU